UAACGCAGCGAGAGACAACAAGAAGACGAGGAUCAUACCGAGGCAUCUUCUUCUUGCGAUAAGGAACGAUGAAGAACUGGGAAGGCUUCUGAGUGGAGUUACGAUUGCUCACGGUGGUGUUUUGCCUAACAUUCACUCCGUUCUUCUCCCUAAGAAGACGGCUUCUACUAAAUCAACUGAGGAAAAGGUCUCCAAAUCACCAGUCAAGUCUCCCAAGAAAGCUUAAAAUCUUUGCGAACGAGAUCUUAUGUUUGUGUUGGGCUUUGGUGGAUGUAGUUAAAUUCAAGCUUUUUAAUCUUAGUUUUUAUGUAUUUUGUUGUUAGAUGUUUGUUCAAAAUCCAUUUCCUGAUUAUAAGAUCCUAUCUGCUUUGUCCUUAAUCACUCUGGCCCAAUUAGCGAAAUAAUUCUUUUAUUCGCAGAGAUAAUUCUCAAUGUGGUCAAGAAAAUAUAUCUGUUCUCCUCUCUCUUUGUUCGUUGUAAUUCUAGAACAUUGCUAUGCAGUAGCGUCCAUAGUGAUCAAUAGCACUUGUUCUAUCAGAGAUACAAGAUACAAUAAAUUGUGCACUCAAUGUGUUUGUGCAAAUGCGUGAAGAAACAACGAGUUGCAGGGCUAUCUUAUGAUACCAAUGAGCCUGUGUUGAAGAGUGAGUUUGGUGAAGCUAUGAAUCGCCAAUUGAAAUCUGUUAGUCUUGUACAAAAUUCCUAUACGGAUACCACGUUAAUGUUUCCGAUAACAUGUGGUAGGAUAGAACACAACAUGUCUCUACACAAACUCGAUGUAUAUGAGUAUAUCUUCAAAGAUGUCCAAAUAUUUUAGGUGUUUUGGACCUUUUGUUAUUGGAAUAUCACUAAAUCUUUGAGAAAGUCUAAAACAGUUGAUAGAGUGCCCGAUAUUUGCCUUUCUUUUACUAGCUAGGCAGAAGCAUUUCUCUUUGUUCUUGAUCGUAUUUCCCUAUUUCUCAAUCGACUAGAAAGCUUUUGUUGAACCAUUGUUUCAAUAGCAUUUAGGCUGACGUAUUUUUAGGUCAGAUCGAAUGAACUAAAAACCUUACUUCCUUUGAGAUUUGAUGAUUCUUGAUAACACCCUUAACACUAGAGGCCUUUAUGCCGGCACUCAAAAGGCUCAUAUCUACAUCUACAAAAUGACAUUCCUCGUUAUGGACUUCUCGUGAUAAUUACUUAAUCUUCCUUUAGGACUAAUUAUUAUUCCGACAACAUAAGAUAUGUCUCCUUUUCGAAUUCAACAUUCUUUUAUCGUUGACUGGUUCAAUAAUUUAUGUUCUCAGCUAAGUUUUGUAUCGACUCUUAGAUAAACAAACAAACAGAGAGAGCCAAAAAAAUACUCUGACUAGAAAACAAUUCAUACUAUGUAUUGAUGAUCAUAUGUUAUAAUGAAAAACAAACAUGUAGGUUAAAUCCAGCGUUUAAACCUUUUUAGGUUACGUGUUUGGUUUCCAAACUUGUUUUAUAUCCUACAAUUUCUCUAAGUAACAGUUAAAUGUUUUAAUAAUCUUAUCUAUUCAAUGUUAGUAUUUUUAAUCAACUCCAUUAUGACUUUGUACAUUACAAUAUCUUUGUACAAUAACUAGAUUAGCAUAAAUUAAACAUUCCAUAAUUCUUGAAGUCGUUACUUAUUUGCGAAUUAGGUUUUCUUUUCAAAAUAUUUUCCAGAAACAAAGUUAAUAAAGUCUUCCAUGAUUCGGAGGUUGUUACAGGCCUUUGAAUUUACUGCUAAAACAUGUCCAUACAUUUUAGAUUAGAUUUCUCAUAUGCUAUUUUAUGACCUCACAAUAUCGUUCAUUCAAUUGAAAAGAUGAACUAUCAUGUUGUUGCACAAUAAAGAAUAUAUGAUUAACAAUGUAAAACCUAGUGUUCUAUUAUCUUACACAUCUAUCAGUCAAUAUAAUCAUGAUUUUUUACCAUAAAAAUAAAAUGUAUCUGAUCUACCAUUAAUUUACAAAACAAUAGCGCAAAUUUUGUAAAUUAAUUAACCAAAAAACUUAAAAAUACAGACAAAAAACUGGCGCGUUUUCAAAAACCACAAAACGCUUCUCAUUGGCUAAUACAUAGAGACGGGGAUCGUGUUACGUUUAACAUCCGCCGUCGAUAGCGGUAAAUCCAACGGACAAAACUACCUCUCUUAUUUUUCCCUCUCACCUAUAAAACAACCAUACAGAGUACCUUAAACUUUAAAUCACAAAUCUCCAAACUCUCCAAACACUAAAGUAGAUUCAGUAAUCGGUAAGUGUAAGUAACAAUGGAAGCCACCGGAAAAGUGAAGAAAGCUUUCGGAGGAAGAAAAGCCGGCGGUCCAAAGGCCAAAUCAGUUUCGAAAUCGAUCAAAGCCGGUCUCCAGUUCCCGGUGGGAAGAAUCACCCGUUUCCUGAAGAAAGGUCGUUACGCUCAGAGGCUCGGUGGUGGUGCUCCUGUUUACAUGGCCGCCGUUCUCGAAUACCUCGCCGCCGAAGUAAGUUAACUCAGAUCUAGCAAUUUUGAACAGUUAAUUCUUUCUCGGAGGAUUCAAUUUUCUGAUUCUCAAUUUCGAUUUUUUUUUUUUUCCAGGUUUUGGAGCUUGCUGGUAACGCAGCGAGAGAUAACAAGAAGACGAGGAUCAUACCGAGGCAUCUUCUUCUUGCGAUAAGGAACGAUGAAGAAUUGGGAAGGCUUCUGAGUGGAGUCACCAUUGCUCACGGUGGUGUUCUGCCCAACAUUAACUCCGUUCUUCUACCUAAGAAGACGGCUUCUACUAAAUCAUCUGAGGAAAAGGUCUCCAAAUCACCAGUCAAGUCUCCCAAGAAAGCUUAAUGCAUUCACGAAAAACGUGAUCUUAGUUUUCUUAAU
rnacentral:lncRNA from 1 species